UNUGGCUUAACUGGGGGCUUGCGGUGGNUACGGGCCGGCUUGAGCGCGGUAGGGGAGGCUGGAACUCCUGGUGUAGCGGUGGAAUGCGCAGAUAUCAGGAAGAACACCGGUGGCGAAGGCGGGUCUCUGGGCCGUUACUGACGCUGAGGAGCGAAAGCGUGGGGAGCGAACAGGAUUAGAUACCCUGGUAGUCCACGCCGUAAACGUUGGGCACUAGGUGUGGGGGGCCUUUUCCGGGUUUUCCGCGCCGUAGCUAACGCAUUAAGUGCCCCGCCUGGGGAGUACGGCCGCAAGGCUAAAACUCAAAGGAAUUGACGGGGGCCCGCACAAGCGGCGGAGCAUGCGGAUUAAUUCGAUGCAACGCGAAGAACCUUACCAAGGCUUGACAUGUGCCGGUCGGCUCCGGAGACGGGGUUUCCUCCUUGUGGGGCCGGUUCACAGGUGGUGCAUGGUUGUCGUCAGCUCGUGUCGUGAGAUGUUGGGUUAAGUCCCGCAACGAGCGCAACCCUUGUCUCGUGUUGCCAGCACGUUGUGGUGGGGACUCGCGGGAGACUGCCGGGGUCAACUCGGAGGAAGGUGGGGAUGACGUCAAAUCAUCAUGCCCCUUAUGUCUUGGGCUUCACGCAUGCUACAAUGGCCGGUACAGAGGGCUGCGAUACCGUGAGGUGGAGCGAAUCCCUUAAAGCCGGUCUCAGUUCGGAUCGGUGUCUGCAACUCGACACCGUGAAGUUGGAGUCGCUAGUAAUCGCAGAUCAGCAACGCUGCGGUGAAUACGUUCUCGGGCCUUGUACACACCGCCCGUCACGUCAUGAAAGU
rnacentral:rRNA from 1 species